AACUUCGGGAUAAGGAUUGGCUCUGAGGGCUGGGCCGGUCGGGCUGUUGUUGGAAGCGUGUGAGGCACCGUGCUGGGGCUGGGCAAGGCCGUCACUUGUGGCGGUUGAACUCGGACCCGGUUUUGGGGCCAAGGCCGUGGAAGGCCUCAGCUAUGUGGCGGGGGACCCACGUUGUCGUACUGUGCCGAGUGGUGGGGGUUCGCUUCUGCCACGAGGCUGGUGCUGGCAGCGCCCUGUUCACUUCGUCCGGCGAGUAACAGCCAACUCAGAACUGGCACGGACCAGGCGAAUCCGACUGUCUAAUUAAAACAAAGCAUCGCGAUGGCCGGUGAGCGGUGUUGACGCGAUGUGAUUUCUGCCCAGUGCUCUGUAUGUCAAAGUGAAGGAAUUCAA
rnacentral:rRNA from 14 species